rnacentral:rRNA from 1 species
UGGGGAAUAUUGCACAAUGGGGGAAACCCUGAUGCAGCAACGCCGCGUGAAGGAUGACGGUUUUCGGAUUGUAAACUUCUUUUCUUAGUGACGAAGACAGUGACGGUAGCUAAGGAAUAAGCAUCGGCUAACUACGUGCCAGCAGCCGCGGUAAUACGUAGGAUGCAAGCGUUAUCCGGAUUUACUGGGUGUAAAGGGAGCGCAGGCGGGACUGCAAGUUGGAUGUGAAAUACCGUGGCUUAACCACGGAACUGCAUCCAAAACUGUAGUUCUUGAGUGAAGUAGAGGCAAGCGGAAUUCCGAGUGUAGCGGUGAAAUGCGUAGAUAUUCGGAGGAACACCAGUGGCGAAGGCGGCUUGCUGGGCUUUAACUGACGCUGAGGCUCGAAAGUGUGGGGAGCAAACAGGAUUAGAUACCCUGGUAGUCCACACUGUAAACGAUGAUAGCUAGGUGUGGGGGGUCUGACCCCUUCCGUGCCGGAGUUAACGCAAUAAGCUAUCCACCUGGGGAGUACGACCGCAAGGUUGAAACUCAAAGGAAUUGACGGGGGCCCGCACAAGCAGUGGAUUAUGUGGUUUAAUUCGAAGCAACGCGAAGAACCUUACCAGGUCUUGACAUCCGACUAACGAGAUAGAGAUAUGUCAGGUGCCCUUCGGGGAAAGUCGAGACAGGUGGUGCAUGGUUGUCGUCAGCUCGUGUCGUGAGAUGUUGGGUUAAGUCCCGCAACGAGCGCAACCCCUGCCAUUAGUUGCUACGCAAGAGCACUCUAAUGGGACCGCUACCGACAAGGUGGAGGAAGGUGGGGACGACGUCAAAUCAUCAUGCCCCUUAUGACCUGGGCUACACACGUAAUACAAUGGCCGUUAACAGAGGGAAGCAAAGCGGUGACGCAGAGCAAAACCCUAAAAACGGUCCCAGUUCGGACUGUAGGCUGCAACCCGUCUACACGAAGUUGGAAUUGCUAGUAAUCGCGGAUCAGCAUGCCGCGGUGAAUACGUUCCC